UGUUGGGGUGCUGGCCCCCUGAUCAAAGCGAAUGCUGUGGAAGAGGGCUGGCAUGCAAAAAUGUGAUUUUAAUAAACUCCUGAAAGGUGCUCUGAAAGGCAGCCUGCUUCCCCUAGAUCCUGUGGGCCUGUUUUCAGGGAUCUGGCAGGGAGCAGGGUGGUGGGUUCCCGGGGGCCGAGCCCGAGGUGCGGCCUGGAGCGGUGCUGGACCCACACGGCUGACCUGCUCCGGCUCUAAGGGAGAAAGCCCACAUUAGCAUGCUGUGUUUCAGAAUCACUGUCCAUGACACUUUCCUUCUGGAUUGUUUUAUCCAGCUUGUGCUAUAAAACCAGAUGCCUAAUUAUUUUUAGCCUGAAUGUAAGAAGUGGAAGAAGAUGUUUUGUUUGCUGUCUUUGCCAAGAGGAAAGCUGCCUAAUGGAAGCCAGUUGUCUCAGUCUGUCUCUGAGAAUUAGGUAUGAACAUUUUGACCACGGUAACAAAGUGAUGAAUAACAUGACAGGUGAGCAAAAGUCAAGCAGGAGAUGUGUAUCUACUCCAGACCUGCCUGCUCUUUAUCCCUACUUCAUUGAUAAGAUGAUGUUGAAAAACAUGAGAGUAAGAAAGAAGAAAGGAGCGCAGCUGCCUGAAUUAGAUAUUGAGCCUGCAGAGUCACUGUGGGAGGGAUAAACUCUGUGAGAGACAAACACAGGUAUUCUUGUUUGUGAUGUGGUUCUUUUUUUGUCAAAGAAUAAAGUGUUUUAAAAAUUC